rnacentral:sRNA from 1 species
CACCGCCUGGGGAGUACGACCGCAAGGUUAAAACUCAAAUGAAUUGACGGGGACCCGCACAAGUAGUGGAGCAUGUGGUUUAAUUCGAAGAUACGCGCAGAACCUUACCAACACUUGACAUGUUCGUCGCGACUUUGAGAGAUCAAAGUUUUCGGUUCGGCCGGACGAAACACAGGUGCUGCAUGGCUGUCGUCAGCUCGUGUCGUGAGAUGUUGGGUUAAGUCCCGCAACGAGCGCAACCCUCACUUUUAGUUGCCAUCAUUAAGUUGGGCACUCUGAAAGAACUGCCAGUGAUAAGCUGGAGGAAGGUGGGGAUGACGUCAAGUCCUCAUGGCCCUUACGUGUUGGGCUACACACGUGCUACAAUGGUAUCUACAACAGGAAGCAAAACUGCGAAGUUAAGCAAAUCCUUAAAAGAUACCUCAGUUCGGAUUGCACUCUGCAACUCGAGUGCAUGAAGCUGGAAUUACUAGUAAUCGUGGAUCAGCGUGCCACGGUGAAUGCGUUCCCGGGUCUUGUACACACCGCCCGUCACACCAUGGGAGUUGGUUCUACCUUAAGGCAAGGUUUAAAAUCCUUGACCACGGUAUAGUCAGCGACUGGGGUGAAGUCGUAACAAGGUAGCCGUAGGGGAACCUGCGGCUGGAUUACCUCCUUUCUAAGGAUGAAUGAAAUUAAAAUUUCAUUCUAAAUAAUAUACACAGGCAAUGUUGACCGUCUUCAUAUUUCUUCUUAAAAUUAAAGUGUUUCCUUGUUGGGGCCGGUAGCUCAGUUGGUUAGAGCACACCCUUGAUAAGGGUGGGGUCGAAAGUUCGAGUCUUUCUCGGCCCACCAUAUUUUAAUCGGGGGAUUAGCUCAGCUGGGAGAGCGCCUGAUUUGCAUUCAGGAGGUCAGCGGUUCGAUCCCGCUAUCCUCCACCAGGAGACAUUUAGCUAUAAAAAUUGUAAAUAAUUUAAUAAUUAAUAUCAAUAUCUAUAUCCGAACAUUAGUAAUUUUAGUAAGUAAUGUUCAAAAUAAAAAUUUGAUUCAACACAGAAUUUUUUUCUG